rnacentral:rRNA from 1 species
UACAGAGGUCUCAAGCGUUGUUCGGAUUCAUUGGGCGUAAAGGGUGCGUAGGUGGCGCGCUAAGUCAGGUGUGAAAUUUCGGAGCUUAACUCCGAAACUGCAUUUGAUACUGGCGUGCUUGAGGACUGGAGAGGAGACUGGAAUUCAUGGUGUAGCAGUGAAAUGCGUAGAGAUCAUGAGGAAGACCAGCGGCGAAGGCGGGUCUCUGGACAGUUCCUGACACUGAGGCACGAAGGCCAGGGGAGCAAACGGG